UUAUUUAUAAUGUUUUGUGUCAAAAAUAUGUGAGAAAUGAGGUAUCUACCUAAUGGUAGGAAGAGAUUAAUUAUGUAAUGGUAGGAAAAAUAAUUUCACUUUAAUUAAGUAUUAGAAAAUCAGUAAUCUUAAAUUAGGAUGCAUCAAUGGAGAAGAAGGCAAUUGUUAUCACAAUACAAUAAUAGAUCUACAAAUACCAAGCAAUACAUUAAAUCAAAAAUCUCAGUAACACUGUUGUAAUUAUGCACUCCCUGUGGUCUUAUUAAUGUCAGCUUAUUGAUAGCUCGAUUACCAGUCAAACAGUUUCGAUGUUUUCUAUACUAUGAAGAAAAUUUGAUCUGAUUAGAUUAAUUCAGAUGUAAAUUUAUGUUAUAGGGUAAGAUAUUUUUAAACAAACCAAGAAA
rnacentral:lncRNA from 1 species